rnacentral:rRNA from 1 species
CAAACCUGGUUGAUCCUGCCAGUUAGCAUACGCUUGUCUCAAAGAUUAAGCCAUGCAUGUCUAAGUAUAAACUAAUUUAUGCUGUGAAACUGCGAAUGGCUCAUUAUAUCAGUUAUAGUUUAUUUGAUGGUCCUUACUACUUGGAUAACCGUAGUAAUUCUAGAGCUAAUACAUGCAUCAAACCCCGAUUCUGG